rnacentral:rRNA from 1 species
CAAAGGGAAGCGAGAGAGCGAUCUGGAGCAAAUCCCAAAAAUAACGUCCCAGUUCGGAUUGUAGUCUGCAACCCGACUACAUGAAGCUGGAAUCGCUAGUAAUCGCGAAUCAGCAUGUCGCGGUGAAUACGUUCCCGGGUCUUGUACACACCGCCCGUCACACCAUGGGAGUCGGUAACGCCCGAAGUCAGUGACCCAACCGGAAGGAGGGAGCUGCCGAAGGCGGGACUGGUAACUGGGGUGAAGUCGUAACAAGGUAAC